rnacentral:rRNA from 1 species
GCGCAGCAGGCGCGAAACUUUACAAUGUGCGAAAGCACGAUAAGGGAACUCUGAGUGCCUCCUAAGGAGGCUGUUCAGGUGUCUAAAAGCACCUGAAGGAAGGGCUGGGUAAGACCGGUGCCAGCCGCCGCGGUAACACCGGCAGCCCAAGUGGUAGCCACGUUUAUUGGGUCUAAAGCGUCCGUAGCCGGCUGGGUAAGUUCCUUGGGAAAUUUGGCUGCUUAACAGUCAAGCUUUCAGGGAAUACUGCCCGGCUUGGGACCGGGAGAGGUCAGAGGUACUCCAGGGGUAGGGGUGAAGUCCAUUAAUCCUUGGGGGACCACCGGUAGCGAAGGCGUCUGACCAGACCGGGUCCGACGGUGAGGGACGAAGGCUAGGGGCGCGAACCGGAUUAGAUACCCGCGUAGU